UUCCAUCCAUUCCAUAGUUACUCCAUAACCUCAUAUUUCUGAACUUUGAAUUUUAUAAUAAAUAUAAUUUUGUUUUUUGAAAUUAUCGUUGCAUUGUUGAGUUUACGUUUCCAUAGCAUUUUUUGUUUAAGGUAAAACCCAAUUUAAUUAAUCAAUUAAUGAUGCAUCCAGAUUUAUCACCACAUUUGCACACUCCAGAAUGUAAUGAGUUAAUCUUACAAUUGAAAUUAUGCCGAGAAAAUGUAUUGAGAAUCGAUUUAAGAAAUUCUUUGGAGCUUGCAAUACGUACUACGACUUGAUGCUGAAAUGUCUCAAGGCUGAAAGAAUACAACGUCGACAAAGAAACAUUGAAAAAUCAAAAGAAAGAAUUGCAAGAAACAAAUUAAAUUUUUAAAGUAAGAUGAUUCAACCUGACAUAAUCGAUUCUAUUGACUUAAAUUCUGUAAAUGCAUUUUUGCCAGUAAGUGAUAGGUAUUACAAGCACAAAUAUUGUAUCAAAUUUAGUACAAAAGAACAAAAUUUAGAUCAAAGAGUUAGUUUCCAUACAAAUCGUAUUUGCAUGAUUUCCCUGGCAGAAAACCACCCUGUCAUGAAAAAUAACAAAAAGGUUGCCAAAAUCAAUUGUACAAUUGACGAGAAAAUAAACCGCUUAUUAAAUUCCACCUCGGGAAAAGGGAAACGGGGUGCGCAAAAAUUAAUGGAGAAUUCCAUUUUAUGUUACAUCGAAUGUGAGGAUGGCGAUGUCUAUCCGGUUUAUAGUUGUGUUCAAGGAAAGCUAUUGGAAAUUAAUGAAAAUUUAAUUUCUAAUCCAAAUUUGUUAGUUACAAAUCCUGUUGAUAAAGGAUACAUAGCGUUAGUUUUGCCCAUGUUAAAUGUGUAUGAAAGUAUGAAAAAUUCAAUGCUUGAUGCAGAUGAGUAUUCUAAGCUUUAAUUUCUUGUACCAAUCUGCUUAAUAAAACCAUUUGAAUUGAAAGUUUAUACUUGAUUGUUAUCCACUAGGGGAAAGAAAAUGUACCCUCUCUUAUUAUAUUGUGAUGUAUGCUAUAAUGGUAAUUUGUUGAUGAAUUGGUUUAUGGAGUGACAAUUUUUUAUAUGGAGGUUACUUUGUUUUUUAAAGAAAUUUGGAAGCAGCGACCCCCAAAAUGUUUAGCUGAAUUGAAAAUGAAAAAAACUGGUAAUUAGUGGCGUUGAUUUUAAUGAAAUAUUUAAUUUAAUUAAUGAUGUAAUACGGGAAUAACCCCAAAAGCACAAACAUAUUUCGGUGUACAGUUUCAAAGUACUACAAAAAAUAAAAAUAACUGCAUUUUAAACUAAAUUUUAAAUUAAGAUUACAAGUUGAGCUAAUAAAUGGUAGUUUAGAUAUAUAAUAACUCAAAAUGGCAAGAACUGUACAAAAAUAAUAAUUUAAAAAUUAUAAAAAACAAUAAUUCAAUAACUCAAAUAAAUGUAAGUACAGAUCCUCUACGAAAAAUACAAAUACACAAGUACAAUUUUUAAUCACGUAGCAAGGACAAAGAAAAAUAAAAUAAACCUUAGGGAAUUACUUAGAUUAGGUAAAAGUUUACAUAUGGGGCAUCUAUCAAUUUUACAUAAAAGUUACUAAGUUAUAUAGGUACAUCAAAUCGUAAUGCAUGCCACUACUCUCAAUUGUCUGCUACUGUCAGUGAUAGCGAACAACUGCUAAUCACUGCUGGUAAGUUAUAAUGACUUCCCACUUUAGACAUAAUAAUAAAAUGCACUUGAAUGAAUAUUCCAUUGCUAAAAAGAAAUGAAGUUUAUAAUAAUGACCAGGAUGAACCAUAGUACAUGUAUGGUUUCUUGAGUUUAGUAUGUGAUCAACAAAGAAUGCAGUUUAGUACACAUUGUACUCAACGCUACUUAUGCAAAAGAUUUUGCGAAAUUGUGUUUUUGGCGAAAUUAGAACAUGAAGAUAAUGAAUUAAAAUUUUUUUUAGAGAAAUUUGAAAAAACUUUAAAAACACUAUUUUUAGCCGAUGAAAAACUCGCAAGAUUGCGGCGCUAAGGGUCCUUGGGUCGCAUCCGGGUUCGAGCAUGGAUAUUUGUAAAUGUGUCGUGGGUUGGGUUGGGACAGCAGCCUUGGCUGAAACCCCGCCCACUCAAGUACGAGUAUAAAGGCAAACUAAAUAAAUAAAUAUCCUUUUUUGAAAAACAGCCGAAAAUUGGAAUUCAGGAAUUGCUGACUAGUGCCUUUGAGUGCUUAUAACUACCAAUGAUGGUUUAGAUUAGACUACUAUUGACUGAUGAGGUUAAAUGAAAUUUUUAAAUUAAUAAAAAAUGUAAUAUCAGCAAACUAUACUUUACUCCAAUAGUUUCGUGGAGUACAAACUUUUUCUUAAUGUUUAUUUACCUCGAUAAGAUUAAAGUAAGGUGGGUUCACUACGUGUUGAAAAGUGUGCAUUUCAAUAAUCUGACGAUUUGAGCGUGACAUGAGAAAGUGGGAAGGUCACAAACUCGCAAAAAAAACGUUAGUUUUGUGAACUGUUGGGCAAUAACAAUUAUUACUAAAAAUAUAAUUUGCCGAUUUCUACACUCCAAAGUGGAACACAUCCUUCAGUGCGUUCAGCAGUUGGAAGUAUGUCAGUUGACUGAGAUAUUGAGAUCAUAGACCGCCGUGUCAUAAAUUAUACGUAAAACGCUCUAAAUAUCUGACGCGCUUGAAUAAAUCCCGUUUUCUACCCUUUUGUACAGUCUGCCCCACCCAUGCAAACCGGCAGGUUAACAUACCUCCAAUAUCAGAGACACGUGGGGCAGAUAUACUAUCAAUAUCUGACGCGGUCGAGUAUUUUCAUGUAACUAUUUUUUGUGUAUAUUAUUAAAAAAAGUGUAGCCGCGUCCCCCACCGGUGGAGGGAUGUACAUCAUAUCAUUUUUUUCUUUCUACCAUAUGAUUUAAAAGUUCAAUAGGUCCCUAUGACACUCGAGUAAAUCCCUAUUUAGCAUCGUGGGCUCCUCUACUCUGGUUCCAAUGCGGGUUGGUCAUGGAAGUUUUGCAUAGCAACCACUUGAAAAUGAAAUUGAAAAUACACAUGUAAAAAUAAAAUGAACGAAGAAAACAGCAUAUACGAAACGUUAUCGAAAUUGCUAAAGUUAGAACAAAUUUAUCAUAAACAGGAAAGGUUUCUCGCCAACAAAGAAAAGUUGGAACAGUUUGCAAUGGUGAAAGAAUGUUUUGAAAUUAUGAAUGAAAUAACGCAGCCCAAGUUUCGCGUUGACCCUCCCAGUGAAGAUCCAAAGCUAAAACUGGAUCGUGCAAGUGCCUGUAAUUUACAACAGCAUACCACCAACCUGUUUGAUUUUUAUAAUCGAGGAGCAGACGUUAUUGAUGUUCCGCAUUCUAAUGAUUUGGAAAAAGGCGUGAACUUGUUGACUGCUUCGUGUCGAAAGAAUGAAGAACAUUUGGAAUUAUGCCAGUCCAUUGCGGAAAGUUUUGGCUUAAUACUUGAAAAAGUUAAAAAAUCCAACAAUAUUUAAAAUAGAAUACCACAUUUAUUCAUAAAUAUAAGUACAGUGCUUAAUAUAGACUAGAAUUGCUUAAUCUUACAACAUCAAUAAUAUAUAAACAUAUUUUUUUAUGAAAGUGAUUGUCUUUUUAUUGUUUUUUAAUGGACAUUGAAUACAAACAUUAAAAGCAGCUAACAUGAAACAUUCAUGGGUACAGUCAAUUUGAAGUUUUUGUGAAAAGAUGAAAA